AGAGUUUGAUCCUGGCUCAGAACGAACGCUGGCGGCAGGCCUAACACAUGCAAGUCGAACGCCCCGCAAGGGGAGUGGCAGACGGGUGAGUAACGCGUGGGAACAUGCCCUUCGGUUCGGAAUAACUCAGGGAAACUUGAGCUAAUACCGGAUACGUCCGCAAGGAGAAAGAUUCAUUGCCGAAGGAUUGGCCCGCGUCC
rnacentral:rRNA from 1 species